GGGGGUGUAGCUCAGUUGGGAGAGCGCAACAAUUCGCACUGUUGAGGUCAGGGGUUCGAGCCCCCUCACCUCCACCA
rnacentral:tRNA from 1 species